AACGUAGGGGGCGAGCGUUAUCCGGAUUUACUGGGCGUAAAGCGCAUGUAGGUGGCUUGAAAAGUUGGACGUGAAAGCUCCUGGCUUAACUGGGAGAGGUCGUACAAAACUAGCAAGCUUGAGGUUGGAAGAGGAGAGCAGAAUUCCCGGUGUAGUGGUGGAAUGUGUAGAUAUCGGGAGGAAUACCAGUGGCGAAAGCGGCUCUCUGGUUCAAUACUGACACUGAGAUGCGAAAGCGUGGGGAGCGAACGGG
rnacentral:rRNA from 1 species